rnacentral:lncRNA from 1 species
UUAAGCGGGGUUAUCACAAUUAGGGUUCUGAACUUUGCGCUCCCCUUUUCCCCAAAUUAAGCAGGGGGAUACCAAUUAAUCUCUCAAGCCAUCACAUGUGCUCCACCAUCACCACCGAAGUUCCCCCCUCAAUCGCUACACAACCCUAAUUGCCCCAAAAGAAGCAAGCGUUUAAUGAUCAUUGUUUAACAUUGGCUUGGACAUGGAAAUGGAAAUGUGAUAACAUCUAGCUGUUCUUGAUCGAAGAUUGUAAGCGUAUCCCAAGAGUGAAGGAUGGAAAUCAGGGUCUUGAGUGGCCCAUGUGUACAUAGCAGAGAAGACUUGUGGUCACGAGGGGCAAGAAUAAAGGAAAAGUGUACAGGUUAGGCAAUGAUAGUGACCCGUGUGUACAUAGCAGAGAAGACCCUGAGAUUGAAAAGUUGAACUUAGUUAUCAAGGAGCUCGUUAAGGAAAAAGAUGAAGAAAAAGAAAGGUUCAACGGAAUUAUUGCGGGGUUUUUGGCUGACAAAGAAAAAGAUAAAGUGGAUAAAGAUGCGUUGCUUGAUAGGAUGUCACAAAUUGAAGCUAUGUUAACAGCUACAGUUCGAAGAUAGGCUAUAAACACUUGGUUUUGAUUGUUUAGAUGUUUAUCUUAUUAGGAUAAUUUUAGUUAGUUUAUAUUUUAGUUGGUAUGUUUUAUAUGCUUUUGAAAACAAGAUGUUUUAUAUAAUUUUGUGAUUUUGU